AGUGAACGCUGGCGGUAGGCCUAACGCAUGCAAGUCGAACGGCAGCACAGUAAGAGCUUGCUCUUACGGGUGGCGAGUGGCGGACGGGUGAGGAAUACAUCGGAAUCUACUUUUUCGUGGGGGAUAACGUAGGGAAACUUACGCUAAUACCGCAUACGACCUACGGGUGAAAGCAGGGGAUCUUCGGACCUUGCGCGAUUGAAUGAGCCGAUGUCGGAUUAGCUAGUUGGCGGGGUAAAGGCCCACCAAGGCGACGAUCCGUAGCUGGUCUGAGAGGAUGAUCGGCCACACGGGAACUGGGACACGGUCCAGACUCCUACGGGAGGCAGCAGUGGGGAAUAUUGGACAAUGGGCGCAAGCCUGAUCCAGCCAUACCGCGUGGGUGAAGAAGGCCUUCGGGUUGUAAAGCCCUUUUGUUGGGAAAGAAAAGCAGCAGGUUAAUACCCCGCUGUUCUGACGGUACCCAAAGAAUAAGCACCGGCUAACUUCGUG
rnacentral:rRNA from 1 species